GGUUAAGUUAACAAGGGCGCAUGGUGAAUGCCUUGGCACUAGGAGCCGAUGAAGGACGGGACUAACACCGAUAUGCUUCGGGGAGCUGUACGUAAGCUAUGAUCCGGAGAUUUCCGAAUGGGGCAACCCAGCAGUUUUAAUCAACUGUUACCACUAGAUGAAUUCAUAGUCUAGUUGGAGGUAAACGCUGUGAACUGAAACAUCUCAUUAGCAGCAGGAAUAUAAAGAAAUUUCGAUUCCCUAAGUAGCGGCGAGCGAACGGGGAACAGCCCAAACCAAAGUGCUUGCACUUUGGGGUUGUAGGACUGAACAUUUGAGUUACCAAAGAACUUGAUAGUCGAAGGAUUUGGGAAAAUCCGCCAUAGAUGGUGAUAGCCCAGUAGAUUAAAUCAAAUUCUCUCAGUUCAGGAUCCUGAGUACGGCGGAACACGUGAAAUUCCGUCGGAAUCCGGGAGGACCAUCUCCCAAGGCUAAAUACUACCUAGUGACCGAUAGUGAACCAGUACCGUGAGGGAAAGGUGAAAAGCACCCCGGGAGGGGAGUGAAAUAGUUCCUGAAACCAUGUGCCUACAAUAAGUCAGAGCGCGUUAAUGCGUGAUGGCGUGCCUUUUGUAGAAUGAACCGGCGAGUUAUGAUCCCGUGCAAGGUUAAGACUAAAAAGUCGGAGCCGUAGCGAAAGCGAGUCUGAAAUGGGCGAUUUGAGUACGAGGUUAUAGACCCGAAACCAGGUGACCUAUCCAUGUCCAGGUUGAAGGUGCGGUAAAACGCACUGGAGGACCGAACCCGUGUAAGUUGAAAAUUGCUGGGAUGAGGUGUGGAUAGCGGUGAAAUUCCAAACGAACUUGGAGAUAGCUGGUUCUCUCCGAAAUAGCUUUAGGGCUAGCCUCGGAUUAAGGAUCAUGGAGGUAGAGCACUAUUUGGACUAGGGGCCCGUCUUGGGUUACUGAAUUCAGAUAAACUCCGAAUGCCAUUGAUUCAUGUCCGGGAGUCAGACGAUGAGUGAUAAGAUCCACCGUCGAAAGGGGAACAGCCCAGACCAUCAGUUAAGGUCCCUAAAUGUAUGCUAAGUGGAAAAGGAUGUGGAGUUGCAUAGACAACUAGGAUGUUGGCUCAGAAGCAGCCACCAUUUAAAGAGUGCGUAAUAGCUCACUAGUCGAGUGAUCCUGCGCCGAAAAUGUACCGGGGCUAAGCAUACUACCGAAACCAUGGAUGCGACCAUUAGGUCGCGUGAUAGGAGAGCGUUCUAAGGGCGGUGAAGCAAGAUCGUGAGGACUUGUGGAGCGCUUAGAAGUGAGAAUGCCGGUAUGAGUAGCGAAAGAUAGGUGAGAAUCCUAUCCACCGAAUGACUAAGGUUUCCUGGGGAAGGCUCGUCCUCCCAGGGUUAGUCGGGACCUAAGUCGAGGCCGAGAGGCGUAGACGAUGGAUAACAGGUUGAGAUUCCUGUACUAGUUAAGUGCGUUUGAGCAAUGGAGGGACGCAGGAGGCUAAGAUGUGCAUUCUGUUGGAUUAGAAUGUCCAAGCAGUAAGUCUUGUGGAGAGUCAAAUGCUUUUCACUUCAAGGACAAGCUGUGAUGGGGAGCGAAAUUUAGUAGCGAAGCGUCUGAUGUCACACUGCCGAGAAAAGCUUCUAGUGAGUACUUAACUACCCGUACCGCAAACCGACACAGGUAGUCGAGGAGAGAAUCCUAAGGUGAGCGAGUGAACUCUCGUUAAGGAACUCGGCAAAAUGACCCCGUAACUUCGGGAGAAGGGGUGCUGAUCGCAAGAUCAGCCGCAGUGAAUAGGCCCAGGCGACUGUUUAUCAAAAACACAGGUCUCUGCAAAAUCGUAAGAUGACGUAUAGGGGCUGACGCCUGCCCGGUGCUGGAAGGUUAAAAGGAUGGGUUAGCUUCGGCGAAGCUCAGAAUUGAAGCCCCAGUAAACGGCGGCCGUAACUAUAACGGUCCUAAGGUAGCGAAAUUCCUUGUCGGGUAAGUUCCGACCCGCACGAAAGGCGUAACGAUCUGGGCACUGUCUCAACGAGAGACUCGGUGAAAUUAUAUUGUCCGUGAAGAUGCGGACUACCCGCGACAGGACGGAAAGACCCCAUGGAGCUUUACUGUAGCUUGAUAUUGAGUGUUUGUACAGCUUGUACAGGAUAGGUAGGAGCCAUAGAAACCGGAACGCUAGUUUCGGUGGAGGCGUUGGUGGGAUACUACCCUCGCUGUAUGACCACUCUAACCCGCACCACUAAUCGUGGUGGGAGACAGUGUCAGGUGGGCAGUUUGACUGGGGCGGUCGCCUCCUAAAAAGUAACGGAGGCGCCCAAAGGUUCCCUCAGAAUGGUUGGAAAUCAUUCGCAGAGUGUAAAGGCACAAGGGAGCUUGACUGCGAGACAGACAGGUCGAGCAGGGACGAAAGUCGGGCUUAGUGAUCCGGUGGUACCGUAUGGAAGGGCCAUCGCUCAACGGAUAAAAGCUACCCUGGGGAUAACAGGCUUAUCUCCCCCAAGAGUCCACAUCGACGGGGAGGUUUGGCACCUCGAUGUCGGCUCAUCGCAUCCUGGGGCUGUAGUCGGUCCCAAGGGUUGGGCUGUUCGCCCAUUAAAGCGGUACGCGAGCUGGGUUCAGAACGUCGUGAGACAGUUCGGUCCCUAUCCGUCGCGGGCGUAGGAAAUUUGAGAGGACCUGUCCUUAGUACGAGAGGACCGGGAUGGACAUACCUCUGGUGUACCAGUUGUGCCGCCAGGCGCAUCGCUGGGUAGCUACGUAUGGAUGUGAUAAACGCUGAAAGCAUCUAAGUGUGAAACACACCUCGAGAUGAGAUUUCCCAUUCCUUUAUGGAAGUAAGACCCCUGAAAGAUGAUCAGGUAGAUAGGUUAGAAGUGGCAGUGCGGUGACGCAUGAAGCGGACUAAUACUAAUCGGUCGAGGACUUAACCAA
rnacentral:rRNA from 1 species